rnacentral:rRNA from 1 species
GAUUAGCUAGUUGGUGGAGUAAUGGCUCACCAAGGCGACGAUCCGUAACUGGUCUGAGAGGAUGAUCAGUCACACUGGAACUGAGACACGGUCCAGACUCCUACGGGAGGCAGCAGUGGGGAAUAUUGGACAAUGGGCGAAAGCCUGAUCCAGCCAUGCCGCGUGUGUGAAGAAGGUCUUCGGAUUGUAAAGCACUUUAAGUUGGGAGGAAGGGCAGUAAGUUAAUACCUUGCUGUUUUGACGUUACCGACAGAAUAAGCACCGGCUAACUCUGUCCAGCAGCCGCGGUAAUACAGAGGGUGCAAGCGUUAAUCGGAAUUACUGGGCGUAAAGCGCGCGUAGGUGGUUUGUUAAGUUGC